CUGUGCCCCUUGAUGUGCCAUCUGCCACCCCACUCAUCACUAGGGUUGAUCAGGCGGAUCUGGCUGGCUAAGCAGGAAUGCUCUCCCUCUCUCAGCGUUCCGUGUGUCCAUCCAAAAGCUGUGCUCAGUUGAAGAGGACAACCUUCCCUGACAGAGAACCGCUCUUCAGUCAUGGGUAUAAUGAAACAACUGUGCUCCCUGCCGGAAGCUCCAAACGAGCUGUCAUGUCAUGACUUCUAAGAAACAGUUGAGGUUCUUUUUGCAAAGCAAUCCCAUAGUAAAUCAGCUACAACGCUGUACCCUGA
rnacentral:snRNA from 1 species